CCUACAGGAAUUAAAGCAUUAGCAAGUUCCUGAGCGCAAGGAAAUGAACGCAUUCCAAUGCGUGACGGCAAAGCCCAGGAUCGCAAAGAGAGUGAUUCAGAUGCCAUUACUGAACUAGUAGAACCUGCUUUUAAUGGCCAGAAGAUGUUCAUUUCCUGAGGCUCGGGACCGCUGAUGCUCCCGAUCCCCUUGGUGUAUGAAGAGGACAUAAUGCACAACAACCUGAAAUGCACCAGGAAGUGGAUAUCCCACCCUGGAGACGCGGGAUUAUUAGAGGAAUGAAAGGCAUCCACUUGAGUACCUGUUCUCUCAACUCCAUCACAGGGCAUGCACGAGCACAGCCCAAACAGCCACUUGUCCGGGAUGGGCAGAUGGACAGGGACACUGGAGAUCACCUGAACCACAUGGGACUUGAACCAGAUAAACCCCCAGGGCUGCUGCCAAUGCUAAGAUGCUAUGCUUUCCACAGCAUCACCUGAAGUGGAACUUUGAGCCCUGCUGUCCUUCAGCUUGGUACAGACACACCAUCCCCUGCACCUAGGUCACCCCUACUCACCCUUCAAGACUGAACCACACCAAUAUCCCAGGAACGUAAAAGACUCGCCUGGAAGCCAAUUCCUUUUCUCCCAAAUCAAGGAGAUGCCAGAGCGGCUGAGAGGAGGAGCUUGGAAGCAGAGGGAAACCUCUUAUCCAUGGCACCUGGUAACCUGUAACAACUAGCUCGUUUUAUUGGUAAAUUAGCCUCCCCUGCCCUCAGCUGUAGCUCCCAAGUCAAAUCUCCGCCACCUGCCGCGUUAACGGGCUUUGAGCAGCUACCAGGGACUUAAAACCCGCUUCCUCAGCCCACCCCCGCCCUCAGAAGAUGGGAGCGCUUCAGGGAAGUUAACUUUCUCAAAACAACUCUUCUCUUGGACUAUCCCUGAGAAAUCCAGGGCUAACGUUGAACUCGGGGUAUGCAGUGGAGACCAGACACCCAGGGCUCUGCAGAGCAGAGAAGAGGCUGGCCAGGGGCACUUCCUUGCUCACAGCUCAUGGUCAAAGGACAGCACAGUCCUCCAGCGGGUGGCAGUGCUAAAAAGCGCACAGGACGGAAACCUGGGAAGGGCCACUUCUGCCGUCCACUUCACCCCAACUUUUCCUUGGUCCAGACCCACGCUGUCCCAUGCUGCAGCCACGAGCCACCUGUGACCCCAGGAACGCGGCUAGUCUGAAUCCCUGUGUCCUGGCUGAGAUACACUCCCGACCUCGAAGACUUAACACCAGAGAAAUCAAUUCCACGUGGUGGCAAUCAUGCCCAUUUAACGAUGAAGAAGUCCAGGCUCAGAGUGAUGGCGGAACGUUCUCAGCAACCCGUGGAGGCAGGCUCUGAAGCCAAGAGGUCGACCUCUGAACUUCCAUGCUCUUUAGUGUUGUAAGAAGACCACAGACGGAGCAAGGCUGUAAGCUCCUGGAGUAUGAGAGAUGUGCCCUGGACCAUACUUGGCCUCCCAGCCCUAGUCUCCAGUGAGGGUCUUGAAGGUGCUGUGAUGAUGACAGCAAGACAGGGGGAUCCAGGGAAGAACAUUGGCAGCAACUCAUACAUCUUGAACACUCAGCCCAGAGCUGCUAUCAGUUCCUCACCUGCGUCACCUGGAUUCAUCCUCACCACCAGCCCACGAGGGAAGAGCUCUAUCAUCUGCAUCUCACAGAGAAGGGAAGCGAGACCCAGCAAGGCACUAUCGUAAGAGCCUUUACACUCUUCAUCUCACUUAAUGCCCCCAGCGAGGUUGUAACGUGGCCUGGAUUAGAUGAUGGCAGUGACACAGACAGAGGGUAAGUGGCCCGCACAG